rnacentral:rRNA from 1 species
AUUGAACGCUGGCGGCAGGCCUAACACAUGCAAGUCGAGCGGUAGAGAGGAGCUUGCUUCUCUUGAGAGCGGCGGACGGGUGAGUAAUGCCUAGGAAUCUGCCUGGUAGUGGGGGAUAACGUUCGGAAACGGACGCUAAUACCGCAUACGUCCUACGGGAGAAAGUGGGGGAUCUUCGGACCUCACGCUAUCAGAUGAGCCUAGGUCGGAUUAGCUAGUUGGUGAGGUAAAGGCUCACCAAGGCGACGAUCCGUAACUGGUCUGAGAGGGUGAUCAGUCACACUGGAACUGAGACACGGUCCAGACUCCUACGGGAGGCAGCAGUGGGGAAUAUUGGACAAUGGGCGCAAGCCUGAUCCAGCCACGCCGCGUGUGUGAAGAAGGUCUUCGGAUUGUAAAGCACUUUAAGUUGGGAGGAAGGUCAGUAGCUUAAUACGUUGCUGAUUUGACGUUACCGACAGAAUAAGCACCGGCUAACUCUGUGCCAGCCGCCGCGGUAAGAC